UCUGCCAAUUUUCCCCCACGCUGGCGGUCUGUCAGCGAAGCCCUCCUCGGGCCGCUGGUCAGAGCCGGAGGACCUCCCUCAUGUCCUUGCUAUGCUCCAGACCGUCCUCGCGACUGCGGCCUCCGACAGAUCGGAAGCGGCCAUCCCGGCGCGUCCCCACUUCCUGCCGGGUCGAGAAGGAGCUUGCUGGCCUCUCCCGACCUCCUCGCCGCCAUCAAUGCCUGCGAGAUCCAGAGUAGCUCCCUCAAGCCGUUGCUGUGCUCCUGGCCUUCAUCGCGUCGGCGGCCUCGGAAGCGGCUGAUGCGGCCAUCCUCGCCGCGGCCCCGGUUCUAGCGGGAUGAGGUGGGCAAGGAGAAGCCCGCUCCGCCACUGCCAUUAAGGCCCGCAAGCCAUCCCAGCGUAGUCGAUUCAGCCUAUAACAUGCUACUGGUCUGCUUGGCGCCCUCGCACAGCCGGACUAUGACGCACCGAACGCGGCCGUUCCCGCCCCCGCGGUGGCCUCCAUUCCAGCGGGAUGACCUCGGGAAUGAGAACCUUGCCGGCAUCCCCUCGCCUCCUCGGCGUCGCCAUCAAUGCCCAAGGUACGUGUAUCUUACUCUGUUCUUCAGACUUUUUAGACUUCAGUUCUUUCUCCCUGACAUUUCUUCAGUUUCAUCACGCUUCUACCUACCAUCAACCAUCGUGUGUCACACAUGGAGAGUCCUGAAGUGUAAUAAUUUCUUGGCGCUUGCUGGUAGCUCUGAGGUGCUUUCUAGCUUCAAUAGGGCGAGGACGGUGACCUACAGACUGGACUACAGCAACAACGCUUCUGUAGUUGAAGCCCUGUUGUUCUUCAGUAAAUUUUACUUUCCUCACACCAACCGUACACAGCCCACUGCUUCAAGCCCUGUGUAGCCCAAUUCUAGAAUCAUCCCACACUGUUUAUCUUCUCCGUUGCCAUCUGGGACCAGCGAAAACCUUUCAGCUGCAGGUAAUUAAUGCAUGGCGCUCCACUUCCACUCCCCACUAUCUCAAGUUCUCUCAACCAAAAGAAACUGAUGGAUCCCCAUAUAAAGUGCUUUGGAAAAAUAUAAAGUGCUUACCCCGCUUUGGCACAUCCUCCAGUAUAGGUGGAUGUUUUCCAUAGGGCACUCAUACUUGCUGCUGGUGAACAACUCCCUCCCCAGUCCUCCACAUUCGGACAUUCCCGGUGACAUAUUGCCCGUUGAAUCACAAAUUUGGAUUUCUUCAGGUACUAGAUGACUUGAACGCCCGAGCCAUAAUCUUAGUUGUUCUUCCCUCGCUGCAUACCCAUGGUGUCUCAGAUUUAUGGUUCCUAUAGCCUUGCAUGAUAUAUUGCCGGUUGAAUCACAAAUUUGGAAUUCCUCGGGUGUUGGACGACUUGGAUGCUCAGGCAGUCAUCUUCGUUGUUCUACCCUCACUGCAUACCCAAGCGCGUCAGGUACACAUUGAUCCCAUCCAUUGCUACUUCUGCAUCUUUGUGUACUUGAUUAAUAUUUAAAUUUAAUUUAGCUUGAUCGAACACACAGCCUUGCAUACUUUGCCUAUUCUGGAUUUUAUUGCUUGAUCCAGAUGUGAAUUUUAUUUUGCUUGAUUGAAGAAUAUAUCCUGGAAUUUUAAUUCGUUAUAUGUUAAAACAUUGUAUCUGCUUACCCUAUCAUGUCCAUGGUGCUACUAAGGCCACAAGCUGACUACUACUGCCUUCAGACCCGUAUUUCUCCUUUUAUCUCAUAUAUGCACGUUCGUGUCAUCAAAUAUUUGGUUUUGCUUUCUGUUUUGCGACUCAUUCAUGCCGACGGUUGUCAGCUUGAUGCUGAACAAUCUAUUAUUGAUUUAUGAUGCUCCUCCUGGCCUACAGGUAUUCGACUAACUGUUGUUGCAUAAAUUUAUCUCGAGCUGAUUUGUCUGUCAAUCAAUUUGAUACUUCGUAUGCCUCCUGUAUUUUUAUUGAAUCGAAGGUUAACAUAGAUUCAUGACUUUUAUUUGUUGUUUGUUGUCCCCUUACAUGAAUCCUCUCAGUCUUAUUGUAGGUUGGCUGCUACCUUCUGACCGACUAACGUUGUUAUUGACUAGCCUACAUGUAAUAAUAUCAAUGUUGGCAGACAAAGUUUUUUCCUAAUAACGUGUCUCUAGAUCCCCCUGUUGUUCAAAUACUCUAUUUUUUUCGACAUUUGUGUUGUAUUGUCGAAAGGCAAACUACUUCAGAUCA